UCUCUUCCCCCUCUCCCUCAGUCUGUCCGUCCUCCUCCCCUCCCAAGCUCGCCCCUCCUCCUCCUCCUCCUCCUCGAUCCGCUUCGACGCUCCACUCAGGCACUCACCUCCCCCCGUGCGACGACCUCCUCUACUGCUGCCGCUGCGGGCGCUUCUCUCCGAGCCUGAGCGGAAGGUGGAGAUGAAGAUGGUGGGCGAAUCGGAGGGGGGGGGGGGGGGGCGCUCCGGUCGGCCACCAGCUCAACCCCGUCCACCUCUCCUUGUGGCGGCGGCCCCCUUUGCCGGCAGCGGCGACGACCUCCUCUCCAUCCCCCUCUUCCAGUGUUGGGCCGGCACAGGAGCAUGCGGCGGUUGGAGCGGGUGCUGCAGCGGCGAACACGACGGCGACGAGAGCUGUCGUGGGUGGCGGUGGUGGGCUCGCUGAGGCUCCUCCAUCCCCCUCCUUUUUUUGUGCAGUUUUUUCUCCUUUUUGAUUUUGAUUUUCCCCUUUGUUGUGAUUGAAUCUGUGAUGAAUCGGUUGCCCGACAAGGCGAGUCUGUGAUGAAUAGGCUGCGAAUCUGUGGGUUGUUUAUUGGGUUGAUCUUUUUUUUCCUCUUUUUUAUUUACUCUUUUCUUGUGAUUGAAUUUGUGAUGAAUUGGCUGCCCGAUGAGGUGAAUUUGAGACGAAUCGGCUGGGAAUCCAUGCGUGUUUUAUUGGAUUUCAAUUUUGAUUUUGUUGUUUACUUUAGGCUUUUUCCCCUUCAAUUUCGUUUAUUUUUUUCUCUAGUUUUACUGUUUCCAAUCUUAAAUAUUGAAGUGCCUCAUCUAUCUUAAUUUGGGCUUGUGGGCUUAAUGUGGCAAACUGAAGUAGGAAUCGGUGUGGGGUAUUUUUUGUGCGUGAUACUUGUGUGCGGUGGGAAGAAAUCGGAUAACGCGGGACGAAAAAUCGCUGGUGAAAAGGAUGUGACGACAGGAAAAAUCCGAAUAUUUAUGUUAGCCUCGGCGAUUUCCGGUAGUGGCCUGGUGGUCGUCGGUAGGGACGCCAUCCUCCGUCCCCCGGAAGAGAAGGAGGAUUAAGUGAUGUCGUCGGCUUUCUUUCGUCCCACAACCUUUUUUCAAGGCAGUUGGGGAUCUGAAAUUGAAUCCAAUCACUUCUUCAUAGCCGGUGAAGGAGGGGUGGCGGAGGCCAUCCAUAUGCUGCAACAUAUCCAGCGGCCAUCCAUAUGCUGGGAGCCACAGCGUCGCCUGUGGUGGGAGAGGACGCCACAUAUCAGAUCCAGCACGGAUAUCGGCAGGCACUACUGGUGAGUGUCUAGAUCGUAAAUGAAAUUCUACUACUGCAAAGCACAUAGCAAUCUAGUGAAGUUGUAUCCCAGUUACAUCUUAGACGUUCCUCUGACUGAACCCGCUGCAAGCUUCACACGAGAUUCUGCACCGGCAAGUGGUGAUGCCGCCGGCGUUGAUUUGGCUGUGCUAUAGCUAAACAAUAAUUAUUCAUUGUGAUUAUCCAUGAGAGUAUGGAUGUGUAAUUUUUCGUUUGUAGUCAGUGUUGCUGAUGUAACAAUCAUCAGUAAAAAGAUAAUCUAUUGAUUGAUAUUACCUAUGUAACCUUUUAUCUGAGGAGAUAUUUUGAAGAUUGAAUGUGUAAUAUGUAUAGUAAAAAAAUUACUAUCCACGUACUA